rnacentral:rRNA from 1 species
CCUACGGGAGGCAGCAGUGGGGAAUAUUGCGCAAUGGGCGAAAGCCUGACGCAGCGACGCCGCGUGAGGGAUGAAGGUCUUCGGAUCGGAAACCUCUGUCAGCAUGGAAGAACCGUCACUGUGCUAAUCAGCAGUGAAUUUACGGUACCUGCAAAGGAAGCACCUGCUAACGCCGUGCCAGGAGCCGCGGUAAUACGGAGGGUGCGUACGUUAAUCGGAAUUACUGGGCGUAAAGCGCUCGUAGGCGGUAUGUCAAGUCAAGUGUGAAAUCCCCGCGCUCAACGUGGGAACUGCCUUUGAAACUGGCAAACUGGAGUGUGUGAGAGGAUAGUGGAAUUCCAGGUGUAGGGGUGAAAUCCGUAGAU